rnacentral:lncRNA from 1 species
GUCUCUGAAUAUAUCAAAACAUGUAUAAGACCACCCGUGAAGUGCAAUCGCAUCCCCAUCCACAGAUUUAGUUGUAGGCGUCGGGGUUGGCGACGAGGUAGGCCUCGGCACCCUUGAAGAUGGCGGUGACUGCCUCCUUGGCCUUGACUUCCUCGCCCUUCACGUCCACACCCGGCAGCAGCUUGUAGGUCGACUCCACCUUCACCACGCUGCCGCCGCCGGCCGCGGGCUCCACCUUGAUGUGCGACGCCGCGGUCUCGACGGCCACGCCGAUGCCGCCUCCCUCGACGAGCGUCGACUUGCACUCGCACUUGUCCAUGUCCAGGGACUCGAGCUUCUCCUUCAUGAAGCUGAAUGGCAUGACUGCAAGAGCGAUCGAUCCCACGUCAGGCGCUAGCUGUUUGAUCGAUGAUCAAGCGAGAGAACAUCAUGUUGGUCUGGGCAACACUUACAUGAGGUGAAGUUGAACUGCCUGACGCUGCCAACACCGCCGUCGCCCUCCACGGGAUGGGCGCUUGUGACGACGUGAGAGGCGACCUUGGGCGCCAGGUUGUGCCAGUCCAUCACGGCGGCGCGGAACAGGCGCGGCGCGGCCACCGGCGACGGGAUCUCGAGGGUCCAGCUGUUGGAAGCCAUGGCUGGUGGUCUGCGAUGAGCUUUGGCUCGGUGCCUAGCUAGGUCUAGUUUGAUUAGCUGAUGCAAGUAGGUGGAGCUGCUGCUUGUGUUGCUGGAACGAGCGGCAAAAAGGGAUUUAAAUAGAGUGCGAUGAGCGCGGGGUUGGUGACGCUUUGCCCCGUUGGUGUCCGGUGGUGACUGGUGAGGCCUGAAAGUUGCUGGGCGAGUCGUCGCGCUUUUCCACAAUGGAUGGCUCUCCGUCGGUCGAGUGAGCUUUAUUAAUAAGGCGGGCGUCCAAAACACACGUCGUUGUCGCACACUCUUUGUCAAAACACGAGGAUAUAUUCGAGGAAUAUGUUGACCGAAUUGGCGGCUUGCCGCCACCUUCCGCUUGCACAAAUUGGUCUAGGUCUUAAAAACAAGCCAUGUAUGUCACAUUUGGUUGGUAUAUACAAGUAGUAUGUAAUGACUGUCAGAGUUCUAGAUAUUUGACUGCAUGGAUGUCUGCAUGCUGGAUAACUUCCAUUCUAGAACGAUAUGCCUUGACUAACAUGAAUUCAUCAUCUUUUGAAUUUAGACAUGAGAGGACUUAAGUUCCGUUUGACACAACUCAGUUUUAUUAUCGAAGCUGUUUCUUUAGAUAGCUUUAUGAGUAACUUUCUUGGCUGAGCUAUUUUAGAAAAUCAUUUUGUAAAAUAGUUUCACUAACAACUUUAUGCAUGGUUGAGAGGGGAAAAUGAGAGAGCUUUUUGAAAAGUUGUUUUUUAGUUCUACUUUUCCGUGGGAGCAUAAAAAAGGUGUUUGACAAAAGAAAAGAGUAAAGUCCAUCACCAGUCUCUAAACUUGUUUAGGUAUAUCAUCCCGGUCUCUAACUCGCAAAACGAUCGUUUAGGUACCUAAACUUGUUCGGCUAUAUCACUCUGGUCCCUAAACUUGGAAAUCUCAUAUAUAGGCCUUCAAACUUGUUUAGUUGUGUCAUCCCAGUCCCUAAACUUGUUUUUAAGUCUCGUCUGGUUCAAAACGGAACGAAUCUAAAAACUCUAUAAAUAACUCAUAACUUUUUCAUAUAAACUCAAAUAAAGAUAAACUUUAUAUUAAAAUUAUAGCCAACAAUGUGAUCUACAACUUUGUAGUUAAAAAGUUUUUAAACUAAAAUAAUUUAGGGUCUCAUUUUUUUGUAAGUUUAUUAAAUUUUGUGACACUAAAUGACUUCAAAUAAAAAACUUUUCAACUACAAAGUUAUAGAUCACAUUGAAGGCUACAACUUUAAUAUAAAGUUUGUUUUCAUUCAAGUUUAUAUGAAAACGUUAUGAAUUAUUUUUCUAUAUAGAGUUUUUAGAUCGCUUUGUUUUGACCCAGGUGAGACUCAAGACCAAGUUUAGGGACUGAGAUGACACAACUGAAUAAAUUUAAGGACCUAAAUGGGUAAUUUCUAAGUUUAGAAACCAGGAUGACACAUCUGAACAAGUUUAGAGACCGGAAUGAUAUAGACAAACAAGUUUAAUGACCUAAAUGAUCAAUUUAUGAGUUUAGGGACCGAUCGAGGUGAUACAACAGGUGGUGGAUUUUACUAUAAAAACUCACAACAACUCAUGAAGUUGUUGAUGAAGCUGUGCCAAAUAAGGCCUCACUUGCUGACGGUGUUGUCACCCUUUUCUUCUUAUCUCACCCUUUACAGAUCUUUUACAAGAAACAUCUUGUAAACAAAUCGUUGUCACCCUUUUUUUUUUGUUGAGUGACCCCUUCUCGCUCUAGCAAGAUCUUUUGCCGUUCUUCAAAUGGUAACAUGAUGUACCACUCAACAUGCAUGGGAGGUAAAAAAAAUGGUACCUAGGUACUAAUACUUUUGAUAGCUACAGUACCAAACUCAAGUUAUAUAUAGUUUUGAUACCUUACCAACGAUAAAAAAACUCCUUACAAAUGACUUCUAUGGCUUCUUAUAGACACUAGUUGCUAUAUGAUAUAAGGACACAACUAUGACAAUUAAGGAGUGGUGGGGUCUUUAUUAAAGGUUUGUUUGGACUUUGGAUACAAGGCGUAAUUGCUAGUUAGCUAAGAACUAGCUCGUGUAUCUAAAUAUGAGAGUUAAUAGGUGAGUUACUUUUAUAGUCAUUUUUUUUACUAGUCGUUAGUCAACAACCAGUAACUAGCCAUGUGUAUCUAAAUCUCCUACAACUAAAAAGAACAAAACGUGGAUACUUUUUGGUGCGACAUUCUAACGUGGGCCCAUAGUCCUGCCUGCUGCGUUCCCGUGGCCACUCUACAUCGUGCAUGACAUCCCUUGCGAUAUUCAAUUCAAAUCAAGAAUCGAUAUGUCAGGUUCCAGUUUUUAUACGAUUGCCAUAUGAAGCCUUUCCGCCAAAAGCCGUCCGACCACGGUGAAACAAAAAUAAUAAUAAAAUCUGCCCCAAUUCACGGACGGGUGACCAACGUGGCCAUGCAUGAAAGAAAUCGUCUAAAAAAUACUCAACUUUCCAUCUCUUCCGCUCCCUUUUCUUGAGAAAAAUGGUCAACCAUCGUGCAACUAAUCAGGAGACCAUCCCACCGAUCCCGCGUGCACAGCUGGCGGAAGCCCCUCGCGCGGUCACAAUCUCUCCUCAAUCAUGCACGGACAUCGCGUUCCUUAGGCAAAAGCAGAAAUUCCUCUCGAUCAUGCGCCGCCGCAACGAAACAUCUUCCUUUCCUGCCCGACGCCCUCGCUCUCGGUGCUUGGAGAGAUCGAGCCGAGCAUACCGGCUUCCCCUGAAGGCUUGAGACGGACACAGUUGACUGCUUCUUCGUCAUUGAUUGUCGCCAGCAACUGCGCCCUUGGCAUCGGUGUGGCCUUGCAAGAUUGGAUCUUUUUGUUUUCAUCCCAAUCAUCGCCAUGGCGGCCUCCUCCCCCUGAACGAUGAACGCAGCUGCUUCGUCAUUGAUGAUCAGCUUCUGACCCUUCACCAAUCUCUAUCCCCUAUUAUUUGUUCCAUCAUCUGUUCCACUUUCCACGAUUGAUUCAGUACUGGUGUUGCAAACUUAUUUCGAUUCUCAAAAAGCGAACAACCUGAUCGGUUUGGUAAGCAUCUUUCUAUUCCAGGCUAUCGAAGCUCUCAUUAAGCUUUUUGAUUCAGUUUGUGCCAAAGGUACGUUCUUGGCAAAUGCGAGCUGGCACCAUGAAGCAAAUUAUAGCUAUUGGAGUCCAGUAGAUAAUAUCUUGUGUGAUCUCCUUGUUCUUAAAUAGUGUAAUUUAAGAAAAAACUUAUUCAUGUUUGUUCUCUUCGACCUUUUUAGAUACAAGACACAGAUUAUUAUAUUGAUAUCAUAAUUGGUUGUGGCAUUGAGGUGUGUAAAUUUAUGCUUUUCUCUUUUCUGUCGGUGUUUAAACUCUCUUCUGAAUUCAUGCCAUCCAUUGACUCCAGGUGAGAAACACCUCCUGUUGUUUAAUUGUUUUUUUGCUCUUGCUUUCAGUAUGAAUAGUCAAAUAUAGUCAAAACAAUAACCUGGUUCAGUAGUAAUAAGGAAUCAAGCUAUUGCAACACUUCUUGUCAAAAAAAUGCAGCACUUCUAGAGUUGCUACGGGUUUUAAAAUUCUCACUUGCUGCACAUUAGGAGACGAAAUUCUUGGUUUCAGUUAGCAGAGUGACACUUAUCACUGUUAUCUAUAAGGCAAAUCUAACAACAUAGCACAGAUUGUGGACAUCAGUUUUUUUUUAGAAAGUGGACAUUGUGGGCGGCUGAGCGGGCACCUACGGGUGGGCGCGGCCGGCGUCAUGGCCAGCUCUGGGCGGGCGCGGGGUGGGGGAGGGGGGUGAUCAAGGCUGAAUCACAGGAAGGUUUCCUUUUAGGUGCUGUUAGCUUGGUUGGCUAAUCCCACACGCUUGAGGAGUUGCCUCUAGGAGGGGGCUGAAAUCACUUGGAGUUUCUUUUGAAUAUCGCAACGGGUGGAAAUAUUGAUCACGAAAAAAGUGGAAACAAAUAGCACCUUGGCUCUUUCCUUUUGAAUAUAGCAAAGGAUGCUGUAGGUGGGCGACGACGUUGUAGGCUCACAAAAUCACUGUCGUUUGCAAUAACAAAUACCUAUGAUUUAACUAUUUCUAUAUAUUGCUGAUCAUGAAUCUUCCUACAGGUACUUAAGUGGAUUUCUCAUCCUACAAUAUAUGUCUACAUGGAAUAGACCAAAAGCCACACAUAUUUAUACAGUGAGUCUAACACUUUGUCUAAGUUUUUGUAAAAGUUUUUUAACAAAAUAUAGUAUUACCCAUGCGACACACACUAAUAUUUACAUAUAUAUACUCGAAUGUGUGACAGGAUGGUACGAAGAUGCGGCAGAAUUUAUUUGUGGAUUUACUGGCACAUGAAAGAAAUGGAUAUCCGAGAUAUCUUCCCGUCGAUAUUAAACAUUAUCUUAGCCGUAUCACGGAAAGGUCUAUAAAGUAGAGUUUGUGAGCCUACAACGUCGUGCUCUUCGUGACUGUGUUUGAUUUCACAAACAUUGCGAUCCUACAAUGUCAUUUUCAAGUUGUUAUUUAAGUAGAAGAUUCUAAUAUUAUUAUCUUGUUAUGCGAUCUAUGUAUUUUAAAUAAAAAAUGUUAGCUAUCCCGUAGCAACGCACGGGCAUGCUAUCUAGUAGAGUAGAAUUGUAAAAGAGAACAAUGGUAAUUCUAGUGUACUAUUCUUGAGAUGUCUAGAAAUAACAAAAUAGAAGGGCUUUGCACGGAAAGAGGAAUGUACUGUGAAAAACAUGGCAUAACUUAUGCCGAGGCUGUUCGUUCCGUUAAAAAAAUAAGUUGAAAAGAAAGUAAUGUUCACUAAUUUAUUGUGUGAGAAAAAUAUUGUAUCAUAGCUGAUAAGUCUGUAGUGUCAUUGUUAUAUUCGUUUGUAACAUAAAUUUGCAAAACUCUACAUUUAACAUUUUCUCUUUUUUUUAGAAAAAAAUGGACAGACACGAGAGCUACCUUUUAUAUAGUACAGUCAGGCUUCUCCUUACGUGAUUGAGCAAAGCUCGGUUGAGCAAACAAGGAUGACACAUCUGAACAAGUUUAGAGACCGGAAUGAUAUAGACAAACAAGUUUAAUGAUCUAAAUGAUCAAUUUAUGAGUUUAGGGACCGAGAUGAUACGACAGGUGAUGGAUUUUACUAAAAAAACUCACAACAACUCAUAAAGUUGUUGAUGAAGCUGUGCCAAAUAAGGCCUCACUUGCUGAUGGUGUUUUCACCCUUUUCUUCUUAUCUCACCUUUUACAGAUCUUUUACAAGAAACAUCUUGUAAACAAAUGGCUUAACUCUUUUUGUUGAGUGACCCCUUCUCGCUCUAGCAGGAUCUUUUGCCGUUCUUCAAAUGGUAACAUGAUGUACCACUCAACAUGCAUGGGAGGUAAAAAAAUGGUACCUAGGUACUAAUACUUUUGAUAGCUACAGUACCAAACUCAAGUUGUAUAUAGUUUUGAUACCUUACCAACGAUAAAAAAACUCCUUACAAAUGACUUCUAUGGCUUCUUAUAGACACUAGUUGCUAUGAUAUAAGGACACAACUAUGACAAUUAAGGAGUGGUGGGGUCUUUAUCAAAGGUUUGUUUGGACUUUGGAUACAAGGCGUAACUGCUAGUUAGCUAAGAACUAGCUCGUGUAUCUAAACAUGGGAGUUAAUAGGUGAGUUACUUUUAUAGUCAUUUUUUUGACUAGUCGUUAGUCAACAACCAGUAAUGUGGGGGUAUAAACCCCUAUACCCUUACGGCUAGACUUCGGCCAGGAGGCUUGGCCCAUUACGAGACGAGUCCAAGGCUUGAUCCGACAACCUGGAGUUUCGCGCAAGGAAACAAGAUGUGGAGAUCAAGCAGGAUUCUAGUCGGUUAGAAUAGAAAUUGAUAUCGAAUUAUCCAUGACAAUUGUAACCGACUAGGGUUAGUUUCCGGAUCUGUAACCCUGCCCUCCAGACUAUAUAAGGAGAGGCAAGGGACCCCCCUAGGACAUCAUAUUCUCUCAACACAAAUCAAUACAACCAGACGCAGGACGUAGGUAUUACGCCAACUCGGCGGCCGAACCUGGAUAAAAAGCUUGUCCGUGUCUUGCGUCACCAUCGAGUUCGUAGUUUGCGCACCGUCUACCGAUAAACUACUACCGUGGGUAUACCCCAAGGUAGACUGCCGACUAGCUUUCGUCGACAGUGGCGCGCCAGGUAGGGGGUGUGCGUGCAACUUUUCCGGCGAACAAGAUGGUCACGAUCCCAGCUUCCGCGACCGUGCCCGAAGGCCUCACGUUCACCGUCGGCCAGAUCACGUGGACGGCGUGCAGCGGCGGCUUCACGACCACGGUUUCGGAAGAGAUCCAGAUCCAAUCUGAGUUCACGCCGUCUCCGACCACACGCAUGACGGCACCAAGCGCCCGACCACCGUUCCCACUCUACAAGGGAAAGGAGAUCGACUGCUCGGACCUUCUCCAAGCGCUUGAUCGCGCUGACUCCAAGCUACUCGAAGUUUCCCAACUAAUAGAUGGAGUUCUGCGUCGGCCCGACCAAGCUGCUCCAGCGGAUUUUUUCAAAUCCCGCCGGCCAACUCGUGUCGCCACACACGAACGGCUGGGAACGUCUCUGACGAUAACCUCAACCCCCUCAGGACGAUCCGUCCAGCUCAAGAAGGAAGACUAUCCUUGCGGCCUGAACAACUCGACCUCUGUUUACUCACGGCACACCCAAUCCGUUUUCAGCAAGGCGGGUUGGUCGCCGACAACGAACAAUCGUCACCACGUCAACAUGGUGACAAUCCGAGAACUACGGGACGGCCAGGCUUCCAGCACCAACUCAAGCACCGGCUCCGUCCCCACCGAGGUUAUAAACACCGAAGACGAGGACUAUGACCUGGAUUUCCCUUCAUACCCUCCGGGUUUCGACCGAUUCCCGAUAUUCCCCCCCCGGCGAGGGGAUAUUGUGUUCAAUGUCAGCGCCGACGAACCGGUCGUUGAUGGAGAAACAGAUGACCAGAGGCAACUCCGCGAACGGCGUAACGCCGAUCGCGCCCGACGACGCGCGGACGAGCAACAACAAAUGCCACCAAAUAAUCUCAACGAUGCCUUUGACAUGGUCGGGGACCAGCCAGUCUACAAAACGCCAAGCGCCAACGUGGCUGUCGCCAUGGCUAACCUGGAUCGGCUUCCCGACACCCCCGAAUGCCAGGGAGUCCGGACCAGCAUCCGAGCACACCUGAUCGCCGCAAUGGGACAGACGGCCACUCUGCUCAAGAGAGUCUAGGACGUCUCUUAUACGGAAGCCGUCUCCGACCAGACUAAUCAUAGCCGGGCCUCACCCAGCAGGCGUCACCGCAGCCGCUCCCCCGACAACCGUCGAGGGGACUCACGGCGCGACGAUGGUGGUCGGGACGCCGAUGGCCGCCGCAAGCAGAACCGCGUACGCGGCCAAGAGGAAGAUCAACACAGGGAUCUCCGCCACAACAUCCCUUCCAAAGAUGCCCGGGACCACAUCAACAGGCGCGCUGCAGAGAGAGCAGUCCACGAAAACCUGCGCCGCAUCGAGUACGAUGCAACACACGGUCCCCCGGGCCUAAGACAGUUCUCCUCGCACCUCCGCCAGGUCGUGUGGCCCCGCAAUUUCAAGCUCGAAAAACUCAAAAAGUACGACGGCAAGGAAAAUCCAGAGAACUGGAUCACCCUCUAUGACAUCGCCGUCCGAUCAGCGGCAGGGGACGAGCACGUCAUGGCUAACUACUUCCCCGUAGUCCUCGACCAGGCUGGUCAUCAGUGGCUUCUCGGCUUGCCCGAGGACUCCUUCGACUCUUGGGAAGAGCUACGCCAGGCUUUCAUCGACAACUUCAUCGCCACAUGCGAGCAGCCUGGAAACAAGUAUGACCUUGAAAGGAUAAGGGACAGGAAGAACGAACCUCUGCGCGAUUACAUCCGACGAUUCUCGGAUAUGCGCCUCAAAAUCCCGAAGAUUUCUCAUGACGAGGCCAUCUCAGCCUUCAUCAAGGGCCUGCGUUUCCACGAAGCGCUGAGGAACAAGCUGUUGCGUAAGCGUCCAACAACGGUAGCAGAGCUCCUCGCCACGGCCAAAAAUUACGCCGAUGCCGAUGACGCAGAAAAACUAAUCCGAGACGAUGCGAGGGGUCCCGACCAGCCUCCCCGACGAGAUGAUGGUCGUGGUCGCAACGACAGCAGAAAUCACCGCCGCUCCGACAACCGCGAUCAUCGAGAGGGUUGGGAUCGGCGGCGCGACAGCCGCGAUGACUUCAGAGGAAAGCGCCCUCGCGACUACGACCACGAAGUAAAUACGGUCAAACGACCCAAUGGACGACGGGACUACCAAGAAGACUACAACAAAACGUUGAGGGGACCAUGCCAACUACACCCAAAGUCCAAUCAUACCAUGGAAGAGUGCCGCGUCCUCAAAAGUAUCUAUACACGGCGGGCCGCCCAAGACGACUCCGCCAAGAAAAACAACAAGCGCGACGCGCACGACCACGAAGAUGAGGAUGAGGACCAAGAUAGGGACCCCCGACACCAAUACGUCAGCCCCACUGACGUGGUCCACUCCAUUUUCGGGGGCAAGGUCUCCACUGAGUCCAAGCGAGAAAGAAAGCUGUUAAAGAGAGCCUGCCUCAACAUAGACAGCACGGACGGGCUGAUCGCAGACCCGAAAUUUCCCACGUGGUCCCACAGGGAGAUCUCGUUCAGCAGGAAGGACCAGUGGGCCGCUAUCCCAGAGCCGGGUCGUUUCCCCCUGAUUCUUGACCCCUGCAUCAACAGCAUCAGAUUCGAGCGCGUGCUCGUGGACGGGGGAAGCUCCAUCGACAUCCUCUUCCGCAACAGCCUGCCCGCCCUCAAGAUAUCCCCGGCACAACUAAAACCUUACGACGCCCAAUUCUGGGGGGUUUUGCCAGGUCAAAGUUCCGUGCCUCUCGGACAGAUAACAUUGCCUGUCCAAUUCGGCACACCCGACCACUUCCGGACAGAGUUCAUCAACUUCGUAGUCGCGGAUUUCGACGGGACCUAUCACGCCAUACUGGGCCGCCCAUCGCUGACAAAGUUCAUGGCAGUCCCGCACUACUCAUACCUAGUCCUUAAGAUGCCCACGGAGAAGGGUGUCCUAACCAUCAGAGGCAACGUCUACACUGCGUACACCUGCGAAGAAGAAAGCUUCAAGAUCACCGAGGCAAUUGACCUCUCAAUCCGCAUGGCGGAAACAGCAAACCAAGCCGCACAGCUGCCUCCCGACCAGCUCCGAUUACCCGAACAGGCGACAGCCAGGAAGAACUCAAAAUCCAAGGAGUACAAAGAAGUGCAGCUGGUCGAAGGCAACCCCGAGAAGACAGCCCUCAUCGGGGCCAACCUGGAUCCAAAAUAGGAAGACGCGCUCGUCAGGUUUCUAAGGGACAACGUGAGCGUUUUCGCAUGGAAACCCGCAGACAUGCCCGGUGUCCCACGAAACCUGAUCGAGCACUCCUUAAAUGUCUCGAAGACCGCAAGACCAAUCAAGCAAAAACUGCGACGGUUCGCUCGUGACAAAAAGGAGGCUAUUAGGACAGAAAUAACACGGCUUCUAGCAGCCGGAUUCAUAAAAGAAGUGUAUCACCCCGAUUGGCUCGCCAAUCCGGUUCUUGUACGCAAAAAGAAUAAUGAAUGGAGAAUGUGCGUUGAUUACACUGAUCUCAACAAACACUGUCCUAAAGAUCCUUUUGGUCUCCCUCGCAUCGACGAGGUGGUCGACUCAACGGCCGGAUGCGAACUCCUCUCCUUUCUAGACUGCUACUCUGGUUAUCACCAGAUCUCGCUAAAGGAAGAAGAUCAGAUCAAAACAUCCUUUAUCACACCCUUCGGCGCAUACUGCUACACGACCAUGUCUUUCGGACUCAAAAACGCCGGAGCCACUUAUCAAAGGGCCAUCCAGCAAUGCCUCCACGACGAGAUUCGUGAUGACCUCGUCGAGGCCUAUGUGGACGACGUGGUCGUAAAAACAAGGGACGCGAGCACCCUAAUCGACAACUUAGACCGAACCUUCAAGGCACUUAAUAGGUACAAGUGGAAGCUCAACCCCAAGAAAUGCAUUUUCGGCGUUCCUUCCGGUCUACUGCUCGGCAACGUUGUCAGUUGCGACGGCAUACGACCAAACCCUUCAAAAGUAAAGGCGGUACUCGACAUGCGACCACCGAAGAACGUAAAGGAUAUCCAAAAGCUAACAGGAUGUAUGGCCGCCCUCAGUCGCUUCAUCUCAAGGCUAGGAGAAAAAGGCCUCCCUUUCUUUAAACUGUUAAAAGCGUCGGAAAAAUUUUUUUGGACAGAAGAAGCCGACACCGCAUUCAACCAGCUUAAGACCUUCCUCACUUCACCACCUGUCCUUACAGCCUGGAGUUUCGCACAAGGAAACAAGAUGUGGAGAUCAAGCAGGAUUCUAGUCGGUUAGAAUAGAAAUUGAUAUCGAAUUAUCCAUGACAAUUGUAACCGACUAGGGUUAGUUUCCGGAUCUGUAACCCUGCCCUCCAGACUAUAUAAGGAGAGGCAAGGGACCCCCCUAGGACAUCAUAUUCUCUCAACACAAAUCAAUACAACCAGACGCAGGACGUAGGUAUUACGCCAACUCGGCGGCCGAACCUGGAUAAAAAGCUUGUCCGUGUCUUGCGUCACCAUCGAGUUCGUAGUUUGCGCACCGUCUACCGAUAAACUACUACCGUGGGUAUACCCCAAGGUAGACUGCCGACUAGCUUUCGUCGACAAGUAACUAGCCAUGUGUAUCUAAAUAGAGUAGAAUUGUAAAAGAGGACGAUGGUAAUCCUAGUGUACUAUUCUUGAGAUGUCUUGAAAUAAUAAAAUAUAGAAGGGCUUUGCACGAAAAGAGGAUGUGAAAAACAUGGCUUAUGCCGAGGCUGUUUGUUCGGUUAAAAAAAUAAGUUGAAAAUAAAGUAAUGUUCACUAAUCUAUUGUGUGAGAAAAAUAUUGUAUCAUAGCUGAUAAGUCUGUGUGUCAUUGUUAUAUUCGUAACAUAAAUUUGCAAAACUCUACAUUUCUCCCUUUUUUUUAAAAAAAAUGACAGACACGAGCUACCUUUUAUAUAGUACAGUCAGGCUUCUCCUUACGUGAUUGAGCAAAGCUCCUGCCAUUUCUUAAAAAAAUGCAAGCUCGGUUGAUAAGGGUUUUGCCGUUUGAGGCUUCCGUUGAGCAUCACGUUUGUGUAAACUCAGAAAAUAAACUAAAAGCUGCUGUGAAGUGAUUUCGUGGCUUUUGAUUUGUUCUGGAAGCUAAAUAAAUAUUAAAUAAAUUUAAUAAUAAAAAUACAGCUACAAAAUCAGCUUUUAUGUCAGAAGUACAAAAGGUACCGCUCAAACAAACUAGCCCUUAGGGGGGCGUUUGGUUGCCUACACCAGUCCUCCUGAGCCAGGCUCUCCGCGUGCGAGAACAGACAUUUGUUUGGUUGGCAUAUGUGCCGAGCGAGGCUACACGCGUGCAAAAAGCCUCUCGCAGCCAGGCUCUGCUGAAACGCAGAAAUCGGCCGUUUUUGUUGGGCCUGGCUCACCUCAUGCGAGCAAGCACUGAACGAUGCAUGACGUGUGAGAUAGAGAUACGUGAACACGGUGAACCAAACAGAUGCUGCUGUUGGCCUAGCUGUAGUGAUCCAAGUAACCAAACAAGAUGCUAUCGCAUACAUAGAGCCUGGUCAAAGUUGGCCUGACUAGCUCUGUGCGAGCUAGGCUCUACCGAGCAACGAACCAAACAGUCUCUAGAUGUCUUCUUCUCACUGUGUGAAAAAAUGGCAUUACAGACGCGCCUUUACUGAUAUCACAGAUGCUCCUGAGUGCGUCAGUGAUAUAAAGUCUGAUAAAUAUUUAAUAAGACCUUAAUACUGACGCACUUCUAACAUCCGUAUGUAAGUAACACAUAGACACGUCAGUAGUAAAGCUUUUUCAGCGACGCCUAUCUAGAACACACGUCAUUAAGGUCCAGCUCGUCAGUACAAAAUUCUAACUGCAGACGCUUCUUCAGGAAUAGGGGUCUGUAGUAAGGAUUAAGCCACAGACGCAUUAUCCAGAGACGCGUCUACAGUAUGAAUUAAAUUGUAACAGUACCAUCGGCAUAUCUCUGUACUAAAUACCUCAAUGAAACGACAUAAAUACACAUCAACAUCUCAUUAAUUAGUACACAGCUUUAACACAAUCAAAUACAGAUCAAAGUUUAAUCACUAAAUUAAAUGUGUAGCUCUAAUAAAGUCACGUUACCUUAUGGCUGGCUAUCGAAUAACUUAUUUUGUAGCUUGAUCAAAACUGGCUCGUGGUCACCAGCGCACCAUGUGUGUCCAUUCAUCCAUGGCAGCUUAGGCGCGUGGCUUUGGCUUUGUGUCUCCCACCUCUCUAGUGAACGCGAUAGCUCUUGAAGUUUUUAUAUUUUCCAAAAUAAUUUCAAUUUUAAACGCGUACUAAAACAAAUUCAGGGUUACUGAUACAAAAUAUGAGAUCGGGUCGUAGAAAAAAGUGCCGAGAGAAAAACUUUUAGAAUAAAAAUAUAGAAAACUUUUGAAGAUGAUUUCUUUUUUUACUCCUCAUGUUAAUCUAGGAGUUCAUAAACAUGAUAUUUUGGGGAAUAUAAUAUAAAAGAUCUCUUGGAGAUGCUAUCUUUUCUUCCACCUCUCUAGUGAACGGUAUAGCUCUUGAAGCACAAAUCCAAUUCUACGGACGUUCAUUCAUUCUACCUCUUGAAGCUUUCAUAUUUUCCAAAAUAAUUUCAGUUUUCAAGACAUAUUCACUGGAACAGCCUCCCAAUAUCUAUUCAAAAUGUAUUCACACGAAAAAGUAAAUAUAUAUUCCAAAUGAGCAAAAUUCCUUAUUUGGUCAAACUUGCGUAGGAUUCCAAAAGGGUUUUUUUGAACGGUGCCAUUACAAUUUCAAAGUAUUUGAAAUAUGCCAUUAUAAUUCAGGUAUCCUGAAGCGGACCAUUACAAUUCUUGCAAAAUUUGAAAUAUGCCAUUGGAUACGGUAGAAGGACGCUUGGGCCUGCUUGCAAGCCGACGUGGCAUACGGUCGACCGUAUGCGCCCGUCGCCGUGAGCCAUCUAAACGGCGCGGCAAAAAACGCCGUCUCCACCCCGCCCCUGACUCAUUCUCGCUCUCCAUCUCUCUGUCUCUCUCGAGCGUAACCCUAGGCGCGGCGGCGGCGGCGUGGCGGCGGCGGCGCAGGGGGAGGCAAUGGAAUAGGGGCGCAUGUCCAUGGCAGACGUGCCCCCGUGCACGGCGCAGCGCAGGGCGCCGCGGAUGGGGGAUAGCAACGAAAGGUAAUGUUUUGUCCUUCCAGAGCACGAAUACGAGUGCAUUAGGUCUUGAUCUGUUGAUUGGCAUUAGAUAUUGAUGUGAUUUGGUUGAUGCUAGGGUUCCGCUAUUUUCUUUAGAAAUUAAAGUGGAAGCAUUCUGUUGGAGAGACUCUUUGGGUAGGAAAGCUUACACAAAGGGCUCUGUAAUUAAGUGGGAUGUGGAGAUUGGCUCGUUUUCAUUUGAUGUACUGAUGGCCAGCUUGCGCAAUGCUGUCAAUUGCUCUACUACUCAGUGUCCAGUUGCUUGGUUCUAUGAUAAAAGGUUGUCUCAAGAUGUCAUGCUAGAAAAUCAAUUCCAGAUUAAUGAUAUGUUUGAGAUGUAUAAGGAGGAGAUGCAUUGCCACAUUGUCGUAGGGGUAUUUGAUCAGUCUGUUCCCACUAUUGAUCAAUUUGAUGAACUAGAUCUUCCUCCUGACACUAGCACUGGCAACCCAGCCAGUACUGACAGUUAUGUUAACCAGCCCACAUUUGAGGCAGAUGUUGCACCAGAGGCUGAAGUUGAGACUCAACUUGAGCCUGAUAGGGAACCUGAUAUGUUUGAUAACGAUGAGGAGUAUGUGGGUUGUGAUGAUGAGGGCAUGUACAUGCCAACACCACCAACACAGCCUCCUAGUAAUUCACCUCCACAUGCUUCUCAUGAUGCUGAAAAUGCUGAUGCUGAUGCUGAUGCUUUUCCUGUUGAGGCAGAGGUCACUGAUGCAGACCCUGAAGAGAUCAAUAUCAUUCAUGACCCAGAACAUCCCAAGAUUGUAAAGGGGGAGUUAUUUCCUGAUAUUGUUUCAUUCAGGAAAGCUAUCAGGCAUUUCUCUGUUACUAAAGGCUAUGUGUUAGCUGGUAUCAAAACAGACCCAUCAAGAUUUAUUGCAAAGUGCAAAUCCGAGGGAUGUCCUUGGCGCAUACAUGCAUCUAGGCUGCAGGGUAGAAAGACAAUACAGGUAACUGUCUAUUCACUAGUUCCUUUGUGCAAGUUUUAUUUUUUCUUUACCUGACAUGUUUCGUAUGCACAGAUCAAAGUACUGCCUGCAGAAGAUGGCAUCACAGUCUUGGUGUGCAGAUAGGCUGGCAGAUUGGAUAAAAAAACAUCCAACAAAACGUGCAAAAGAGUGCAGGGAGAAGUUGGAAGAUGAUUAUGGCAUCAAGCUGAAGUAUUCAAAGGCUUGGUCAGGUAUGCAGUGCGCAUUGGAUCAAAUCCAUGGUAAAUAUGAGGAAAGUUUUCAACUGCUAUUCAAUUGGGGUGCUCAAAUUGAAAAGGUAUCUCUUGGUAGCACUGUAGUGGUAGAGGUUGACAAAAUUGGUAAGAAGAACAGAUUCAAAAGAAUGUUUGUUGCUCUAAAGCCUUAUGUAGAUGGAUUCUUGGCUGGUUGUAGGCCUUUUUUGGGUAUAGAUGCAUCUUGUUUGAAUGGAAAGUAUAGAGGUCAGCUAGCUUCAGCAACCAGUGUAGAUGGACAUAAUUGGUUGUAUCAUGUAGCUUAUGGCAUUUUUGACAUAGAAAAUGAAGACAACUGGACAUGGUUCUUGCAACUUCUUAGUAGAGCAAUUGGGCCUGUCCCAAAUCUUGUAGUUUGUACAGAUGCAUGCAAAGGCGUGGAGAAUGCAGUGGGUAAAACUUUUCCAACAGCUGAGAAUAGGGAAUGCAUGAGACAUAUGUACCAAAACUUUUAUGAAGCACUAUUCUAGUGAUGUAUUCACAGACCACCUUAUCCUACAGCUAGAAGUUACACUCAAGAAAAAUUCCAGUGGCACAUGAAUCAGAUACAUGAGUAUGCUCCUCAAGCUAUAGAAUAUAUUGAGAAUUACCACAGCAGGAUAUGGUACAGGUGUGGGUUCUCAGAAAGUAGCAAGUGUGAUUAUUUGACCAACAAUGUGUCAGAAAGCUUCAAUGCACAGGUGAAGCACCUCAAAGGUUUAUUAUUACAUGAACUGGUAGAUGUUGAUAUUUGGUAACGCAAUAAGGAAAUAAUCCGCAAGCGCACGGAUAUCGGUGAGCAUUUCACCCGGGAGGUUUUCCAGAGUAUCGUAUUUAUAUUUUUACCACUGGGAGAAAGGGUGCAUCUGACUAACCAAAUCUAUUGCUACUAUCCCUUUAGGCUACAAAGAAUGUUUCUCAAUGUGAGUGAUAUAUAGAGAAGACUGCAACCGUAGUCUCGUUCUAACCUUGGUAAGGAUGAUCUACUGUUCUAUUGGGGAAGCUUACGGAAUCUAGACACCACAAAGGAUGUUUGACCCGCACCUAUAAACCUACCCGUCCUGCUAACAAGAUAUGGGAUACAAAGGUAACUCGGAAAUGUCACGUUCCUCGCUACUACCACGGUCCAGCUAGUCAGGGGAUAUCUAUGAGUACCCUAGUGAAAGGUCCUAAUAUGGCUAGAGGGGGGUGAAUAGCCUAUUUAAAAAUUCUACAAACUCACUAGAGCGAGAGGUUAGUAAAUAACAAAGCGAAGCCUUUUGCUCUAGCUCUAAUGGGGUGUUUGCAAGCCACCUGUCCAACAAUUCUAGUUGAUAUAAUCACUAGACACACAAGAGCUAUGUCACUACUUACACUAGAAAGCUACCUAAAGUUUCUAUACAAGUAAGUAAGCUACUCUAGUUUGCGGGAAUGUAAAAGAGAUGGUUUUAACUUUAUACCGCCGCAUAGAGGGGAUGAACCAAUCACUAAUAUGAAGUCCAAUCACCGGGAGAAAUCCAAUGAACAAUCACAAUGGAUACACACAAUUUUACUCCCGAGGUUCACGUGCUUGCCGGCACGCUACGUCCCCGUUGUGUCGACCAACACUUGGUGGUUCGGUGGCUAAGAGGUGUAGCACGAACCUCGUCCUCACUAGGACACCACAAGAACCUACCCACAAGUGAGGUAGCUCAAUGACACGAGCAAUCCACUAGAGUUACCUUUCGGCUCUCCGCCGGGGAAGGUACAAGACCCCUCACAAUCACCGGGAGAUGGCCACGAACAAUCACCAACUCGUGCUAAUCCUCCUCCGUUGCUCCAAGCCGUCUAGGUGGCGGCAACCACCAAGAGUAACAAGAAAACCGCAGCUAGAACGAUCCCCAAGUGCCACUAGAUGCAAUCACUCAAGCAAAUUCACUUGGAAUCACUCCCAAUCUCACAAAGAUGUUUAAUCUAUGAAGGAGAUGAGUGGGAGGUGUUUGCUUAGGCUCACAAGGAUGUUAUGUAUGUUAGAAUGCCAAGAGAGUGAGCCCCAAGCCGGCCAAACACGUAUUUAUAAGCCCCUCAAGCAAAUAGAGCCGUUGGCACUUUCACUGGGCAAACUGCGGGGUCACCGGACGCUCUCAAAGGGGCACCGGACGCUCAACACCAGCGUCCGGUGCUCCAACGUCAGCCAUGUGUCGCCUUUUGAAAAACUCGUGUCAGAGUCUAACGGUCACCUGCAGUGCACCGGACGCUAAGCAAGUUAGCACCGGACGCGUCCGGUGCACACCGGACUCAUGCGCAGAGAGCUCCGCAAACUCGCACGGUCACCGGACGCAAGCCACCGGACGCACCCUGAGCAUCCGGUGCUCACCGAACUCAUGCGCAGAGAGGGUUGCAAAACGCCCUCACACCGGACGCUAACCACCGGAAGCGUCCGGUGCUCACCGGACCCAUGCGCAGAGAGGGUCGCAAAACGCCCACACACCGGACGCGCACCACCGGACGCUCAAGCCAGCGUCCGGUGCCUAUCGUCCGGUGCCUUACCCUAGCUGGGCCAGGCACUGUCUGCACCGGACGCUCAGACGCAGCGUCCGGUGCUCCAGAAGCCAGCGUCCGGUGAGUGUUUUCUCAGCGAGAAACACUCCCACGACUACUCCAAAUUUCCUACCGACGCAAUAGAAAAUAUGCAUUUUAUUUUCUCGAAAAGCGCCGAAUCCCACCUCGCAAGCUCGGCGGGAGGGAGAGAGGAACCCAUCCUCUCUCUACGUACUCUUCAAACUCCACCUCCUUCUCAAAGUGUGCCAACACCACAAGUGUAAACCAACAAGUGUGCACGUGUGUUAGCAUUUUCACAAUCAUUUUCUUAGAAGGAGUUAAGUUAGCUCACUAGGUUCUAAAUGCAUACACAUGAACAAUGACACCUAGUGGCACUUGAUAACCGCUUAGCCAAAGAAUUCCCCUCUUUAUAGUACGGCUAUCUAUCCUAAAUGUGAUCACACCCUCUAUGGUGUCUUGAUCACCAAAACCAAAACCCUAAGCAAUACCUUUGCCUUGAUCUCCAUAGGGUUUUGUUUUUCUCUUUCUUCUUUUCCAAGUUGAGCACUUAAUCAUCUUGUGGUCAUCACCAUGAUCAUCAUGAUCAUCACUUGCUCCAUCACUUGGCAUGUACCAACCUCAUUAAGUCUACACACACUUAGUAUAGAGGUUAGUACUAGGGUUUCAUCAAUUAUCCAAAACCAAACUAGGGCUUUCACCUAGCCUAAACACCACGUUUACGCUAGCAAUAAUUACUCUAAUACUCAACCGGAAGAGGAUUAAAUUAAACUCAUAAACCAAAGAACAAUAAAACAAGAACUUACUAGAAUUAGAAGUCGAAUUACUGAAGAAUCUUAGAAGCAAGCCUCGGGUUAGAAGACUUGAUCCCGCAGGUACAACUCGGAGUAGACACCGACAGGUCGGCCUUCCUCCGAUCUACACCUCCACUCUAUCUCUCUCAAUCUAGUAGAAACUAGAAGAUCUAUUUCUACUUACAUUGGUUGCUAAGCCUAAAAAAAUAUUAUUUAGAGAAGAGGUUUUCCUUCGAGGGCACCCCUCAAUCUCUAUGAUAACUUCUUGUCUUCUCCAGGGGCCAGGGGGGUCUCCUUAUAUAGUCCUCCUCCUCUAUGCGUUUUUGGGUCGGUAGGCGAUGUGGUACUACAUUAUCCUUGAUCCAUUAGGUCGGUGGAACAUCGUGUGCGAAGAGAGUCCCGAACGGAGUCUAGGACACGGCGGGCGCCCAGGGAAAGAGGGCGGGCGCCCUGGGCCUGGCCCCUUUCGGCCUCUGCUUUCUUCCCGUGGCUUCUGGAGUCUUCUAGAUGGUAGAAAAUUACGCGGUGCGUUGAUAUCUCUAUGUAAUCCCGACAUGUGGGCCUUUCUUCCGUAUUUUUUGAUAACCCCCUGCAGAAAUAGACAAACACCAAAACUCAUGGAAUUCUGUCAGAUAAAACCCUAAGUCUAGAUGUUGAUUUCAUUUGGAUCCUUUUCUUUGUUUAUUUGAUAAUUAAAUUUGAUACUUAAGGACCGUCAACAGUAGACAGAAUUAGAGAGCUUAUAAUGGAGAAGAGAUAUUUGAGGAAGAAAGUUGCUAGGCAGUGGGAAGAUGGAAUCCUCCCAAAUGUGAUGAAGGAUUGUUGGGUAUUCUUAACAUCAUUACCAAAAGUAGACUAAGUUCUCUAAAUCUAGUAACGGUGCCAAAAAUGCCAAACCUAUCCCUCACACCACUUAAGCCAAGUUGUCAUCCCCAGCAUGACAUGAGAGACGCGGUAUUGAAAUAUGCAAUUGCUCUUCUAAAUAAAUAAUGAAUGAGAUCUGCAAGCGCACAGAUUAAUACCGAUGUAGCAUUUUAACCGGGAAGUAUUCUAGGUAUCGUUAUUUAUAUUUUUACCACUGGGAAGGGAUUAGCAAUCAUCACUAUUGAUUACAGAAUAGAAUAUGAGAUUGAGCAUCUAUCAUUGCAUGUAUAAUUGAGAACAUUUAUCUAACUCUUCAUACAGGGAUAAGUGUCACAUAAAAGAUAUAUGAAAUAAUAAUAGUGACAAGGAUAACUAAUCUGAUCUAGCCACAUAAUAAAUAUGAUAAGCACCUCAAUUAGAUACUCUAGAAAGUCAUUAGCAUGGUAUUAGAACGAACUAUAAGAAUAUUCCCUAAGUUAUUCUCAACUAUAUAGUUUAGCAUUAUCAUAGUUAGUGCAAGCAUACUUAGCAAUCAUUGUGAGACAAGACUACGCCCAUGCAUAGUGAUAUUAGCAAGGAAUAUGAGAAACAUAGCAAUCACUCCCCUAUAAUAAUGUUGCUCUGCCAGCCCAAUACACGAGAGGGGGACUAUAUAAGAAUCAAUGAAGCUGUCACUAUCACGAACCACCCCACGAUCUGGCAUAUUGGGUACAAUCGCAGAUAAAUAUGGUAUAAGCACCACGCCUACACAAUAUCUAUCAUUUACCCAUGGAUCCGAUGGAUAAACGCUAUACGAUCCUAAGCAUGUAUAUAGAUCGAAUCUAACUAAGCCAAGUACAUAACUAUGAUAAACUAAGAACAAUAUAAUCUUGAAUAUAAGCAAGUAGAGCAAAGUCAUAAGCAAUAUAUUGAAGUAGAACAAAGUCAUAUUUAUAAUAUUGAAGAACAAAGAUAAUUAGAAAGUAAUUAGAAGCACAAUUAGAGAAUUACCAAGAAUCCUCUUGACAGAUCCGGAAACCAAUCGAAGAUUGACUCCUUCUAGUUCUAAUCCUAUGUAGCUAUGCUAAUCUAGAUAUCUAAUUGAUGUGGUGGCUCUAAUCUUGAUCAGAGGCUUCUUCUCCCUUGAAGAACAAUGAAUUAGGGUUGAGAGGCUCCCCCCUCUAGGGGCCAGGGGGUCUGGUUUUAUAGUCCCUUCAAGUGAAUAUGGGCCGUUGGAUCAAACCGACAUAGAUUGUAUGGUUUAGAUUCAUCCUUUAGGUCGGUGGAAAUCUCCCACGAAGCAGAGUCCUGAUUGGACUCAGGAGGUGGGCGGGCGCCCUGAUCACCUGGGCGGGCGCCCAGGGUCACGCCCCGUUUCGCCUCCGCUUCGGUUUCGUGGCUUCUGGAGUCUUCUAGAUGUAAGAUAAUUGCGCGACACGUUAAUAUCUCUAUGUAAUCCCGACGUGUGGGCCUUUCUUCCGUAUUUCCUGAUAACCCCCUACAGAAAUAGACAAACACCAAAACUCGUGGAAUUCUGUCAGAUAAAACCCUAAGUCUAGAUCUUGAUUUCAUUUGGAUCCUUUUCUUUAUUUAUUUGAUAAUUAAAUUUGAUACUUAAGGACCAUCAACAAGGAUCUCAACCUGAUCAGUACUCAACUCAAUGUAGUCAAGGUCAAAGUCAGUGAUGAUAACACUGCUGAAGUUACAAUCCUGGAGUGGGAGAAGCAAAGGAGGCACACUGUGGACCUAGGAAACCACAAUUGUUCCUGCAGGCAGUGGCAAGUGACUGGAAAGCCAUGUAAGCAUGCUUUGGCUUGGAUACUGUCAAUCCCAGGGAUGAGAAUUGAGGAUUAUGUACAUGAGUACUAUUCAGUUGCUAGAUUUAAGGCAGCUUAUGCUGAUAGGAUUGAGCCUAUCCCAGACAAGGAUGAAUGGCCUGUUGUCAACCUUGGUUUUAAAGUGUAUCCUUCAUUGCUAGGCAGAGGUCCAGGAAGGCCAAGGGUUGUAAGAAUUAGAGGGACUUUUGAGCAGAGGGCCACGAAGAAGAAAGUUAGGUGCAAGAGAUGUGGUGACUUUGGACAUUUUUCCAAGACCUGCAAGUUGCCAGAACUAGGUGAAGAUGGAGAAAGAGGACAAGGGUCUUCAAAAAGGUAUUAAAACUAUUGUCUAACCAUUUUAUUAUUUUUUCCUAUGUACUAAGAUCUAACCGGCUAUUGUCAUCUCAACGCAGAAAGAGGCCGACUCAGCAAGUGUCAUCACAGGAAGCUCCAACGCAGGAAGUACCAACACAGGAUGAUGCUGGACCUUCCCAGGUGAAGAAGACCAAGCCUCUGAAGAAGGUUACAACUAAGAAGAAGAAGAAGACACCAAAGAAAACAAAGCUGCAGAGGGAAGCAGCUGCACCUGGGAAGGCUGUUAUCAGCAGCAUCAGGCACCUGAUCUAUGAUGCUCCACAGGAUGCUGAUCUAUGAUUCUCCACAGGAUGCUGAUCUAUGAUGCUCCACUUAUAUGGCUUUGUUCUGAACCUUACUAUGUAAUGAGGCAUUAGAAUGCCAACUUGGAACUUGUAUGGCUGAUGCUGCUACUAUGUAAUGAGGCAUUAGAACUUGCCAACUAUUUUCAGUCAUGUGAACUCUACUUAUGUUAGUUUGUACUCUCCUGUAUUGUGUCAAUUAUCAUGUGAACUCUACUUAAAAUGUUAAGAAAACAAGACAAAGUGCUGCAGAAAUUCUAAUAUAUUUUGAAGCUGAAAUUCUAAUCUAUUUUCAGUGACAAAAGGCAUAGGACAAUGCUGAUCAUACUCAUCGAAGAAACUCAGUGACAAAAUGCUUGUUCUUUCAUUGCAAAUACACAUAAUUACAGUCACUUCAUCAUCUGAGAAAAACCUACACCUAGCAGUACACCCACAAGGACACCUACAACAACAGAUACAUCCAACACAAUUUGCAUUUUCCCCUUCCUGCCCAAGUCCAGUGCUGGACUCUGAUUACUAACUUGACUAGGAACAGCAACAACAUCUCUGUCUCCAAGUUGCACCUUCAUUUUCUCAAGUUCAGUGACAACUCUAUCUAGAGUUUGCUUCAUCUCCUUGUCCCGUUGAUUCAAAUCAUCAUUAGGAUCCCCAACUGCUGAAUGAAGGGGCAACUGCAGCUGAAUCUCUUUCUCCUUUUGCUUCAUAAACCAUGCCUCGUACUGCUCCUCCGAACGAAUCCAGCCACAAGUUGUUGGAUCACCCUGUGCAAGCAACACCAGUCAAAUUGAAAACAAAGGAAGCACAUUCAAGGGCAUAAACAAUGCAAAUAGUUACCUUUACGUUGUUUGGGCACUUGAUGAAUGCGACAUCCUUUGAGUGCUCUUGCUUGCUCACGAUUCGGAUCAAAGGAACAUUGCACACUGGGCAGUUCAGUAGGGGGCACUGCACCCUUCUACUGCCAGCAGCGGAAGAGCUCGAGGCCAUCUUCAUCUGCAGCGCCGCCGUCGGGAUCGUGGCACCGGAAUCGCCGCCGCCGCGCCUAGGGUUACGCUCGAGAGAGACAGAGAGGUGGAGAGCGAGAAUGAGUCAGGGGCGGGGUGGAGACGGCGUUUUUUGCCGCGCCGUUUAGAUGGCUCACGGCGACGGGCGCAUACGGUCGACCGUAUGCCACGUCGGCUUGCAAGCAGGCCCAAGCGUCCUUCUACCGUAUCCAAUGGCAUAUUUCAAAUUUUGCAAGAAUUGUAAUGGUCCGCUUCAGGAUACCUGAAUUAUAAUGGCAUAUUUCAAAUACUUUGAAAUUGUAAUGGCACCGUUCAAAAAAACCCAUUCCAAAAUAGAAAGUCCUUUUCCUUCCCAAACAGAAAACCAUGUUUAUCUGCCAACAGUUUCUAACCCAUGGGUCCCACGGGUGCCAACGGUUUCCCUCUUGAUCCUCCCCAAUCGCCCGCUCACACCACCACGCCGCCACGCCGCUCAUCGUUAACUUCCUGCCCUCCACGGACUUAUCCGCUCGUCGCGCCCGCCUCAAGCUAAUGACGAAUCUAAUGAGUAGAAGAGUGAGGGCAUGUGUCCUUAAGGAAAAAAAACGUCUUCGACCAGAAAUCUCCACCUGCCGCGCUGUGGAGUUCUCGUGCUGGGGCUCCUCCCCGUGCGUCGCCACGGUGCCGUGGCUGACCACACGAGCGCGGCUUGGCAUGCGUCUAAAGAUACAGUGGCCGUUGUUGGAGAUGACCUUGAAGCUGUGCAUCUGCCAUUCUGCCUUCCAUUGGUGCCUAUGGGGUACACUGUCAAACAGCGCUGGUGCCCCCUCCAUCGGCGCGGGAGGAAGAAGAUGACCAGGUUGAGCGGUGUGGAACCGUCGUAAACGAAUCUGCGCGGUUUCUCCCAACACGGUUGACUGUGGGCUGAUUUACGGGUACACGGUUAGUAUACAGCAUCGUACAUACCACUCAUAUAUAUAGUCAUAUAUAACAUCUCAAGUCCAUACACGGCACACUGCUUAGAGAACCUUUAUUUAUUUUGUAUGAAAAAGGGACAUGAAAGAAAACCAUUCUCCGAAUAUAUCAAAACAUGUAUAAGGCUGCCCGUGAAGUAGAAUCGCAUCCCCAUCCACAGAUUUAGUUGUAGGCGUCGGGGUUGGCGACGAGGUAGGCCUCGGCACCCUUGAAAAUGGCGGUGAGUGCCUCCUUGGCCUUGGCUUCCUCGUCCUUCUCGUCCAUGCCCGGCAGCAACUUGUAGGUCGACUCCACCUUCACCACGCUGCCGCCGUCGGCCGUGGGCUCCACCUUGAUGUGUGACGCCGCGGUCUCGAUGGCAACACCGAUGCCGCCGCCCUCGACGAGCGUGUUCUUGCACUCGCACUUGUCCACGUCCAGGAAAUCGAGCCUCUCCUUCAUGAAGCUGAACGGCAUGACUGCAAGAACGAUCGCGCACGUCAUUCGCUAGCUAUUUGAUCGAUCGAUCGGGCGACAACAUGUUGGUCUGGGCGACUGGGCAUGCUGCGGACACUUACAUGAGGUGAAGUUGAACUGCCUGACGCUGCCAACGCCGCCGUCGCCCUCCACGGGGUGGGCGCUGGCGACGACGUGGGAGGCGACCUUGGGCGCCAGGGUGUGCCAGUCCAUCACGGCGGCGCGGAACAGGCGCGGCGCGGCCACCGGCGACGGAAUCUCCAGGGUCCAGCUGCUGGCGGAGGCCAUUACUUCAGUGAUCGGCCGAGAUAAACUAAACUAGGUGCGAGCCGAAGCUGCUUAGGUGCUUGUGCUGCUGCAGGUGGUUUUAGGAUUGCGCUUUUGCUUGCGUUGCCAUUAGAGUGGCGGACGGAGGACUUUAAAUAGGCGGUUAUGGCGGGGUUGGUGGCGUCCCGUGAGGAUGAGACGCUCGGGAGUCGUCGUCGGCGGCUCUUCCCACUUUGGCUUGGCACGGCACCGUCGCUCGUCGGUCCAUGUAGUUCAUUAUAAUAUACUACAUGUUGCCGGGGUUGCGGACAAACGUCUGGAAACGUGCUGCCAUUCCGUCAGCGUUCAACCCCUGAAGGUGUAGAAUAUAUAUCGUCGAAUUGGCGAGCCAAAUCAGCUUCCAGAUCAAAAAGCAUGUACUGUAAGCGUGGGUUGGUGUCAUUAGAAACGAGAAUUAUACCGUACGUGAGCGUCCUGACUACUUGCAUCACUCUUUUGGUGUCGCACUGUCGCUAUUAACUACUAAUAAUAAACAUAAUCCUGUAAAUCCACCUCUUUUUAAUCAUCCUAUAAAUACCUCUACUGGCGACAGCAUGGACAAAGCUCAUACGGAAAAUAACAUAGUGGUGGCCAAAGCUGUAUGGGAAAAUAUUGAUUGCAGACUAUCAAUUGGGUGCAAAAGUACUCAGUGUAAACUAUUAAUUAAGUGCAAAUAUAAAGACAAUUGCUAUGUCACAGUUGAUUGUUUUAGCCUCCGUGAAUAACUGAUUUCCUGGCCGUUUGAUUCUUAUCACGUGGGAUGAAAGAAAGACCAACAACGCUGCGGAAGCAGAGCGUGAGGAAGGACCGAAGGAGCCACCAGGGGUCCACUGAUGUCGCCAUUAGCACCAAGGAGAGGCCGUCGUCAGAGUCAGAGUCAGGGUUGUAGAGGGCUAUCACGUCCGUUGUCGAGGUCGGGGUGGGGUAAAGAUGGCAAUGGAUAAUUACCCGCUGGGUAUAUGCUACCCAUACCUUUACCGAUGAGAAAAUAUUUUACCCGUUAAUUUACAUAUCCAUGUAUGGGUAAGAGUUUUUUCCCAUACCCUUACCCACGUGGGUAACGGGUAAUCCAUGAGUUUUCUUACCCAUGAUUCUAAGAAUACUUGUAAAAAAUAAAUACAUAUUUAAAUAUUCUAGACUCCCAAUUUCAGCCAAAGUAUCAUAAGUCAUUAAUAAAAUCAUCAAAUAUACAAGCUCCAUGAAUACCUAAUCAAGUAAUCUAAUAGAUAAAUCCAUCAUUACUAGACAACAAGUGACAAAAUUUACAAGUUUCCGUGUUGUGCGGCCGCCGCAAGGAGAUAGGGGAAAGGUGAGAGAGCGGAUGUGUGAGGUACUAAGGUGAGGGCCUAGAGUUUGACAGCAUUAUAUAUGAUUUUUAUUGGACUUGGCCUGUGUAUGGUGAUUUUGGUCCAUAAUUCUAACUUAUUGAAUCGGGUCCAAUCCCAUACCCUUACUCGCUUUACCCGCUGGCUAAAGCUUUUUCCCAUUAUCUUACCUAUGGAUAAAAAAAAUAGUCAUACCUUUACCCUAAUGAAGUAAUUAACCAUCGGAUUUCGAGUAAAAAUUGACAUCUUUAAGGUGGGGAAUGGCCGCCGCAUCUACCAUAGCCACCUGCUUCCUGAGAUCCAUGGGGAAAGAGCCCGCCGCUAGCCGAGGGUGAGGAGCCGCCGCCUCUGUGUGGCCAACUUCAUGUCGGGCCUCUACCGUGGCGGGGGUAGCUCACAGAAGGGAAGGGAUAAAGUUGGUGAGGGUGGGUCCCACCAUAAUUGGUGAAUAAUUUGCCAUGUAUUUCUCUAAUAUCUACUAUCUAAAGAAAUAUUUUGUAUUUUUUUCUGAAAAGUUUGGCAUAUUUGUCUUUGAGAUAUGUAAUCUAUAAAAAUACCUAAGAUAUAUCACUAUAUCCAAUAAAUGACACUAUGUGUUAGCAUUUUCUCACUACAUUUUCAAAGGUGUUAACACACUAGAUUCUAAUGCAUAUGCAUUAUCAACAACAGCUAGUGACACUUGAUAAACCGCUUUUAACCAUAAUUUUCCUCUCUUUAUAGUACAGCUAUCUAGUCGACUAGUCCAAACCCAAUUAUAUCCUCUAUGGUAUCUUGAUUGGCGAAACAAGAAUGGCCCUAUCACAUACCUUUGCCUUAAGCUCAUUUUUAUUUUUCUCUUUCUUUUUUUCCAAGUUGGAGCACUUGAUCUUCACACUUGACCACCUCCAUCAUCUAUAGAUGCCAUAAUCUAGCUGGUGUGUACCAAUCCUAUUUCCUAUCUUAUAUACACCUAAAGCAAUGGUUAGUAGACUUAGAUCUCAUCAAUUAUCCGAAACUAAACUAGAACUUUCAUGUAGUGACACAACAUCUACUUUCUCUCACCCUUCCUCUUUCAUGGAAUGCAAGCAUUCAUACAUCAUUAGUAUGUUGUAUGUAAUGAGUCUCUCUAGCACAAACACCGACUGUUCUUCCGAAAUCACCUUUGGGAAAAAAUAAUCCACAGUCUGUUUGCCACCGUCUUAGAAGCAAUCUUAUAUAUCAUGUUACAUAGACUGAUGAUAGGCCAAAACAGCCCGCUCGACCAACUUCUCCACUUUUGUGAUCAAUACUAUUCAUGUGCUAUUUAUCACAGAAGGAUCAUCCUCGCCACAUAAGUCCUAGUGCCGCUAAAAAAAAUGAGCAGGAAAACCAUCUGGCCCCGGCGUUUUUGUCUUAAACAUGUGAGAAAGCUUAGUCCUGAUCUCCUCCUUUCGUAUACAAGGCGAGUGUCCUGACAACUACUUGCAUCACUCUUUUGAUGUUGCACUAUCGUUGUUAGCCUUAUCAUUAACUCCUUUCCUCUCUAAUCUCUAGAAUUAAGCAAAGAUUUGAAUGCUUUCUCAAUUUACCAUCAUAUAAUUAUUAUAUUAUAAUAUAAUCAAAUAAAUACACCUCUUUUUAUUCAUCCCGCAAAUAUAUCUAGUGGCAAUGAGUAUGGAAAGAGCUAAUACGAAAACUAUCAUAGUGGUGGCCAAAUACAUGAGAAAAUAUUCAGUGCAAACUAUAGAUUGGGUGCAAACAUAAACCCUUUAUAACAUAAUUAGAUGUUUUCUUAAAAAAAUGCCCACUUCGCCACUAAAGUUAAGAUACAAAGAAAUGGGGUGGGGGUGUGAUGCAAAGAUAUUGGAGAGUGAAUCUCUUCUUUCAAACCUCCCAAGAAACUAGUCACAAAGUAAACAUAAUCGUAGGAGCUAUUGUACAAUAGAAUUUGAUGCGCAGGCUGUUCAAGCUACUCAAAUUACUGUGACCGAACUAGUCUACUGAAGAUGAUUGUUUCAUACAUAACUCAUAUUGGUCACGAUUAAAAUAAUUACAAACCGCAUCACAAGAGCAGGCCAAGAUGUGAAACAACCACACAACUCUUUAAAUUGUAACCAAGUGGCAGCGGUCCUCCAGAACUCAAUGCAACAGAGCUAGGCUUCAAUGUCUCGCUGAUAGAGUACAUCUCAAAAUAGAUCUUACAGUGAUCCUUCCACAACCAUAAAUUGUCACCAUCAAAUUUGGGGAAAUAUGAUUUGGGCAUCGGACCAACUGGAGAUGUAUAAGAAUAUGAAUGUUCCAUCGGUCCACCUAUCAUUCCCUUGUACUUGCGUGCCCGUUAGUUAGCUAUUAUGUUCCUCUUUUUUAUUGGAUCCCAAACACCUCUGCUUCUAGACCAACUUCCAUCGUCGUCUACACAUAUCCCAUGGAGUUAGAGCAAGUUUAAUUAAUACAGUCCACUUGCUGACUGUAAGGUUCCUUACAGCCUUCUUUCAGCCCCACCCAUACAAUAGUUAGUUAUUCAUUAUUAAUACAUGACUCACUUAUCUCUCUUACAAAGUUUUCAGCUUACAACAUGCUUCUCUUCUCUCUCCUCCACCUCAGUAUUUAGCCAGCUUACAGCCCACUAUAAUACUUGCUCUUAUGACAAAUGCCUACUUCUCUCGCCUUUUUAGUGAACACUAUAACUCCUGGAGUCUUCAUAUUAUUCGAAAAAUAAAUUCAAAUUUCAACAAUGACACAUUCAGCAGAAUAAAAAGUCUCCAAAUUUCUAUUAAAAAAGAGCAAACAUUCCUUAUUCAGUCAAACUUGCAAAGGAUUUCAAAACAGAAGACCUCGUAUAACCAUGAGGGUGUAAGUAAUCUCACAAACAAAGCAUCACAAACCACUUAUAAUCUCAAGUCCAUACACGGUACACCACACACUGCAUAGAGCAACUUUAUUUUGUUUUGUAUGAAAAAAGAGGAAAACUCCAGGAAAGAAAAAAGAAAAUUAAACCCAAACUUCAGGAAGGGGAAUCGCAUCCCAAUCGACUGAUUUAGUUGUAGGCGUCGGGGUUGGCGACGAGGUAGGCCUCGGCACCCUUGAAAAUGGCGGUGACUGCCUCCUUGGCCUUGACUUCCUCGUCCUUCUCGUCUACGCCAGGCAGCAGCUUGUAGGUCGACUCCACCUUCACCACGCUGCCGCCGCCGGCCGCGGGCUCCACCUUGAUGUGCGACGCCGCG